rnacentral:misc_RNA from 1 species
AAAUGUUCUAAAUAACAAAAAGGACAAUAGGGGUUUAAUAUGAGAGAGUUAGAUUUUUAUUAUUUUUUUUGUUAUUUAGAAAUUUAUGUUGUCUUUUAACGUCAGGAUGUCUAUUAAGAGUGUAUGGUGUUGGA